UACGAAGGGGGCUAGCGUUGCUCGGAAUUACUAGGGCGUAAAGCGCACGUAGGCGGCUUCUUAAGUCGGAGGUGGAAAUCCUGGAGCUCAACUCCAGAACUGCCUUCGAUACUGGGAGCUCGAGUCCGGGAGAGGUGAGUGGAACUGCGAGUGUAGAGGUGAAAUUCGUGAGAUAUUCGCAAGAACGACCAGUGGCGAAGGCGGACUCACUGGCCCGGUACUGGACGGC
rnacentral:rRNA from 1 species